GACGAACGCUGGCGGCGUGCUUAACACAUGCAAGUCGAACGGAAAGGCCUCUUUCGGGGGGUACUCGAGUGGCGAACGGGUGAGUAACACGUGAGUAACCUGCCCUUGACUUUGGGAUAACUUCAGGAAACUGGGGCUAAUACCGGAUAGGAGCUCCUGCUGCAUGGUGGGGGUUGGAAAGUUUCGGCGGUUGGGGAUGGACUCGCGGCUCAUCAGCUUGUUGGUGGGGUAGUGGCUUACCAAGGCUUUGACGGGUAGCCGGCCUGGGAGGGUGACCGGCCACCUUGGGACUGAGAGACGGCCCAGACUCCUACGGGAGGCAGCAGUGGGGAGUAUUGCACAAUGGGUGGGAGCCUGAUGCAGCGGCGCUGUGUGCGUGAUGACGGCCUUCGGGUUGUGAACCGCUUUCGCUCAUGACGAAGCUUUGUGUGACGGUAGUGGGUAAAGAAGCACCGGCUAACUACGUG
rnacentral:rRNA from 1 species